rnacentral:rRNA from 1 species
GGGGAAAUCUUCGGCAAUGGGGGCAACCCUGACCGAGCAACGCCGCGUGAGUGAAGAAGGUUUUCGGAUCGUAAAGCUCUGUUGUAAGUCAAGAACGAGUGUGAGAGUGGAAAGUUCACACUGUGACGGUAGCUUACCAGAAAGGGACGGCUAACUACGUGUCAGCAGCCGCGGUAAUACGUAGGUCCCGAGCGUUGUCCGGAUUUAUUGGGCGUAAAGCGAGCGCAGGCGGUUUGAUAAGUCUGAAGUUAAAGGCUGUGGCUCAACCAUAGUUCGCUUUGGAAACUGUCAAACUUGAGUGCAGAAGGGGAGAGUGGAAUUCCAUGUGUAGCGGUGAAAUGCGUAGAUAUAUGGAGGAACACCGGUGGCGAAAGCGGCUCUCUGGUCUGUAACUGACGCUGAGGCUCGAAAGCGUGGGGAGCGAACAGGAUUAGAUACCCUGGUAGUCCACGCCGUAAACGAUGAGUGCUAGGUGUUGGAUCCUUUCCGGGAUUCAGUGCCGCAGCUAACGCAUUAAGCACUCCGCCUGGGGGUCGACGCGGCG